GAGAGACAGGAAAGAAAGGGAAGAUAAAAGAGAAGGCCAGCCCAAAUGAGCCCCAAGGUAAUAUUUAUGAAGUGUACAAACAAAAACAGACAAA